rnacentral:rRNA from 1 species
AUUGAACGCUGGCGGCAGGCCUAACACAUGAAAGUCGAACGAGUGGCGGACGGGUGAGUAAUGUCUGGGCAACUGCCUAAUGGAGGGGGAUAACUAAUGGAAACGGUAGCUAAUACCGCAUACCAUCGGAUGUGCCCAGAUGGGAUUAGCUAGUAGGUGGGGUAAAGGCUCACCUAGGCGACGAUCCCUAGCUGGUAUGCGAGGAUGACCAGCCCCACUGGAACUGAGACACGGUCCAUACUCUUACGUGAGGCAGCAGUGGGGAAUAUUGCACAAUGGGCGCAAGCCUGAUACAGCCAUGCCGCGUGUAUGAAGAAGGCCUUCGUGUUGUAAAGUACUUUCAGCGGGGAGGCGUUACCCGCAGAAGAAGCACCGGCUAACUCCGUGCCAGCAGCCGCGGUAAUUC